rnacentral:lncRNA from 1 species
GGAGAGAGAGGAUGCUAUAUCGUAAAUACUAUGAAAAGUCAAGGAUGAGGAGGAUGUGAGUGUGACAAAGAGAGUGCUUUGUCACCAAAUCCACAUGGACAGGUUUCAAAAGAGGAGGGAGUAACAACAUGAAUAGCUACCAAAACCUCAGUAAAAAUGUAUAUUAACAUUCUUCCACGAGGUGAUUCUCAGUGGGAGAUCAUGGCAAGCUAUAGUAAAAAUUAGGGUGUCAGUGCCAGAUUUCUGUGGGUUGAGACAUAAAUGUGAAAUGAAGGAAGAAGCACUGAGACUCACCUAUGAAAAGACUGGGUGGAAACUACUCUCUCCAGACACCAAACCAGAUCUCUGCCUCCGGGAGUCUUCAUGUCUGCAUGGCUUAGAGAAGCCGGGUUCUGAAGAAGUCAUUCCCCUACACCCACACACUCUCUUGUAAGCACUGGUUCCUAGGAAUGGUGUUCACAGGCAUUCCCUCCCCCCACCCCCCAGGACCCCACUCAGAACUGCUGAAACACAACCUCUUACAUAAACGAACAUCCCAAUUCAAUGGACUUAUUUGGCCCCGGUAUCCAUCCCAGUGAGCCUCUACUGUAAAAUGUGAAUUGGGCUGCUGUGUUUUGCUGGCAAGGACCAUGAAAAGUUUCUACUUUUUUCUGGGAUGUUCCAGUGCCU